UACGAAGGGGGCUAGCGUUGCUCGGAAUCACUGGGCGUAAAGCGCACGUAGGCGGAUUGCUAAGUCAGGGGUGAAAUCCUGGAGCUCAACUCCAGAACUGCCUUUGAUACUGGCGACCUUGAGUCCGGGAGAGGUGAGUGGAACUGCGAGUGUAGAGGUGAAAUUCGUAGAUAUUCGCAAGAACACCAGUGGCGAAGGCGGGUCUCUGGACAGUUCCUGACGCUGAGGCACGAAGGCCAGGGGAGCAAACGGG
rnacentral:rRNA from 1 species